AAUUACGCUCUUAAGGAAAUAAUAAAAUGCAGACACUCGAAACACUAUUUCCUAAUAUGGUGUUGUUUAAGCUUGGUUUCACUCUCACUGUUCUUCUCAUGGCAACCACAAUGAACGUGCUAUGGUUCUCAAAGACGAAUGUGCUCGCUUGGAAUGUUGAGCAUGAUUUAUCAAGAGUUGAAAGGCGUCUACUCCCUCAACUUAAUGAUAUUUUAACUUGUGGGAAAGAUUGUCAAACCAACAACGACUGCAGUGAUUGUUGGAUUUGCUGUAAGUGUGAUGUGCUUCUUCGUUGCGACGUAGUUACUGGGUAAAGUCUGUGCAAAUUGCACAUUAUUGUUCAAAUGUGACGAACUCAGUGUGAUUCAGUGUUUUUUUUUUUUUUUUUUUCAUUUCAAUGUUUCCUUGUCUUUUAGAUUUUGUACGAAUAAAGAAGAAAGUCAAGUGAAUAACUUUCUAUUUGGAAAUGUGAAAAGAUUAACCGGCGUGGUGAAUUUUAGUACUUUGUAUCUGUUUAUAAUUUUCAAGCAUUUACCAAUUUAUUUA